CACAGCUGGACUUGUUAACAGCUGACAUUCCCUCAAAGAAGGAAGGAGUGGGGAGAGAAACUCAGCCCUCAAGGAAGGGUCUCUCAAUGGACCCCUGGCUAUCCUAUAACUCCAUAUGUAGACCAGGCUGGCCUCUGCCUGUGCCUCCCAAAUGCUGAGAUUAAAGGCUUAUGCUACACCACAUCUGGCUAGCAAAAAUUCUUGUUUCUAAGUGAAACAGAAAAGUUGGCUCAUCAAGAUGGCUCAGAGGCUAAAAGUACGUGCUAAACAAGCCUGACCACCUGGAUUUGAGCCUCAGAACCCAUGUAAAGGUAAGGAGAGAAUUGAUGCUUCCAUCAAGAUCACCACACUAACUAUGUAGAACCCUGACCACAUCUAACGUACCUGAUUCCUGUACACCUUAAGCAUCAGACCACACUUUCUGCAGCUCAGGAGAGGAGCCUCCCCCCAACACCUUCUAUCUGCUUGAAAUAUUCCAUAAUCUCGGAGCUCUGACUGCAGUUCUUUGGCGUUCGCAUCUUCCUAUUCCUCUCCAAGUCUAGCUGCACUGCAGAGUUAGGUUUAUAACAAUGAAUAAAAGGUAAAAAAGAGAAAGACUCCUGUCUAAACACUUGUGUUUUUAUUCAGAGAUCUGUGCUACUCUCAACCUUGGUCAGAGAAGCAUUUUAUUGCAUGGGGUAGUCGUUCAUGCACUUGCAACUGAGAAUGAGCAUCUGUGGGGAUUCAGUCAUAGAUGGAACGUCUGUAUCAAACCCCAUCAUUCUGAGGCUUGGGGGAUUUUUGAGGAAGAGAAGGUAGAAAGCAUGUAAGAUGAUGUGGUGGCUUGAAUGAGGGUGGGCCCUAUAGGGUCAUAUGUUGGAAUGUUUGGUAACCAGUUAGUGCAACUGAGAAGGGCUAGAAAGUGUGGCCCUGUUGGAGAGGGUGCAUCAUCAGGGGUUGCAUUUGAAGUUUCAAAAGCUCACAUCAUUCUAUUCUCUCCCUCUCCCCUGUCUCUGUCUGCUGCCUGUGGAUCAAGAUUUAAAGCUCUCAGCUACUUCUACAGUGCCAAGUCUGCCACUGUGCUCCCUGCACCCUGCCUUGAUAACAAAAUAACCCUCUGAGAUUGUAAGCAGGCUCCCAAUUAAAUGCUUUCUUCUA